UCAAAUGAUCACCUCAUCAAGAUGAUGUGCAGAACCCAUGAGUCAGUCAUGCCGGCUCAAGGUCAAGGUCACAACUUACGGUCAAAGGUUUGAGCCUUCCAUUUUGUGUCCGCUCUAUAUCUCCUAAACCCCUUGAAGGAUUUUCAUCAAACUUGGGUCAAAUGAUCACCUCAUCAAGGCGAUGUGCAGAACUCAUGAGUCAGCCAUGUCGGCUCAAGGUCAAGGUCACAACUGAAAGUCAAAGGUUUGAGCCUUCCAUUUCGUGUCCACUCUAUAUCUCCUAAACCCCUUGAAGGAAUUUUAUAAAACUUGGGUCAAAUGAUUACCUCAUCAGAACGAUGUGCAGAAAUUAUGAGUCAACCAUGCCAGCUCAAGGUCAAGGUCACAACUAAGGGUCGAAGGUUUGAGCCUUCCAUUUGGUGUCCACUCUGUAUCUCCUUAACCCCUUGAAGGAUUUUCAUCAAACUUGGGUCAUAUGAUCACCUCAUCAAGAACUCAUGAGUCAGCCAUGUCAACUCAAGGUCAAGGUCACAACUGAAGGUCAAAGGUUUCAGCUCUAUAUCUCCUAAACCCCUUGAAGGAUUUUCAUGAAACUUUGGUCAAAUGAUCACCUCAUCAAGACGUUGUGCAGAAUUCAUGAGUCAGCCAUGUCAGUUCAAGGUCAAGGUCACAGCUAAAAUCAAAGUUUUACCCUUUCACUAUCCAUAGCAGUGGCGGGGGAUUUAGCUGUCUUUCAGACUGCCUUGUAAUUCUGAGAAUUCAGUAAUUAUAGGGAAGUAAUUUUUGUGAUUGAGUUAAUUAAUCUACAAAAUUUAAUCCCACUGUGUUCAAAAGUUAAAAUCCAUGAAUUUAUAUCCCAGGAUACUCUUGCUACUUCAUCAAAAACCAUGAAAGUUUAUGCCCAUGAAAUUAAAAUGUUUCACUAAAGGUGUAGUAUGCAUUUACACUUUAUGGCAGAAAAUGCCAGAAGUCAAUACUUGACCUUUACCCUGGUACUGAACUGCCAGCACCACUUACUAUUCACAGGGGUGUUCACUGAAAAUUUACUAACUGAAUAGCGUACAGUGCAGACCAUGACCAGCUUGCAUGGAUCUCGGUCUGCACUGGUUGCAAAGGCAAAAUCACUUGCCACCAUCAGACUGAAGGUUAAAACAUUAUGCUUACGAAUACACAAUUUAUAAUUCAACUAUUCCAAAAUAUAGACCGCAAAUUGAAAAUUCUACAUUUGCACAAAAUUUCAGUAAACUAAGUAAAUCUAAGAAGAUGAGAUGGUGAAAAGAAAAAAAAGAUUUUGUUGAGCCAUUGAACUCACCCAUGUGUCGGCGUCCGCGUCCGCGUCCCGAUUUGGUGAAGGUUUUGUAUGUAAGCUGGUAUCUCAGUAACCACUUGUGGGAAUGGAUUGAAACUUCACACACUUAUUCACUGUGAUAAACUGACCUACACUGCACAGGUUCCACAAUGCUGUUUUGCUUUUUGACAAAAUUAUGCCCCCUUUUCGACUUAGAAAUUCUUGGUUAAGGUUUUGUAUGUAAGCUGGUAUCUCAGUAACCACUUGUGGGAAUGGAUUGAAACUUCACACACUUGUUCACUGUGAUAAACUGACCUACAUUACACAGGUUCCAUAACUCUAUUUUGCUUUUUUACAAAAUUAUGCCCCUUUUUCGACUUAGAAAUUCUUGGUUAAGUUUUUGUAUGUAAGCUGGUAUUUCAGUAUCCACUUAUGGGAAAGGAUUGAAACUUCACGCACUUGUUCACUUUAUGAGCUGAUAAGCACUAUGAAGGUUCCAUAACCCUUUCUCUCAUUUUUACAAAAUUAUGCCCCUUUUUCGACUUUUGUAUUCAUUCAAUUGACAAGGCUGUUGAAUAGUCGAGCGUUGCUGUCCUCCGACAGCUCUUGUUCUA